AGAGUUUGAUCAUGGCUCAGAUUGAACGCUGGCGGCAGGCCUAACACAUGCAAGUCGAGCGGCAGCGGGAGGAAGCUUGCUUCCUCGCCGGCGAGCGGCGGACGGGUGAGUAAUGUCUGGGGAUCUGCCCGAUGGAGGGGGAUAACCACUGGAAACGGUGGCUAAUACCGCAUAACGUCGCAAGACCAAAGUGGGGGACCUUCGGGCCUCACACCAUCGGAUGAACCCAGAUGGGAUUAGCUAGUAGGUGGGGUAAUGGCUCACCUAGGCGACGAUCCCUAGCUGGUCUGAGAGGAUGACCAGCCACACUGGAACUGAGACACGGUCCAGACUCCUACGGGAGGCAGCAGUGGGGAAUAUUGCACAAUGGGCGCAAGCCUGAUGCAGCCAUGCCGCGUGUGUGAAGAAGGCCUUCGGGUUGUAAAGCACUUUCAGCGAGGAGGAAGGUGGUGAGCUUAAUACGUUCAUCAAUUGACGUUACUCGCAGAAGAAGCACCGGCUAACUCCGUGCCAGCAGCCGCGGUAAUACGGAGGGUGCAAGCGUUAAUCGGAAUUACUGGGCGUAAAGCGCACGCAGGCGGUUUGUUAAGUCAGAUGUGAAAUCCCCGAGCUUAACUUGGGAACUGCAUUUGAAACUGGCAAGCUAGAGUCUCGUAGAGGGGGUAGAAUUCCAGGUGUAGCGGUGAAAUGCGUAGAGAUCUGGAGGAAUACCGGUGGCGAAGGCGGCCCCCUGGACGAAGACUGACGCUCAGGUGCGAAAGCGUGGGGAGCAAACAGGAUUAGAUACCCUGGUAGUCCACGCCGUAAACGAUGUCGAUUUGGAGGUUGUGCCCUUGAGGCGUGGCUUCCGGAGCUAACGCGUUAAAUCGACCGCCUGGGGAGUACGGCCGCAAGGUUAAAACUCAAAUGAAUUGACGGGGGCCCGCACAAGCGGUGGAGCAUGUGGUUUAAUUCGAUGCAACGCGAAGAACCUUACCUACUCUUGACAUCCAGAGAACUUUCCAGAGAUGGAUUGGUGCCUUCGGGAACUCUGAGACAGGUGCUGCAUGGCUGUCGUCAGCUCGUGUUGUGAAAUGUUGGGUUAAGUCCCGCAACGAGCGCAACCCUUAUCCUUUGUUGCCAGCGGUUAGGCCGGGAACUCAAAGGAGACUGCCAGUGAUAAACUGGAGGAAGGUGGGGAUGACGUCAAGUCAUCAUGGCCCUUACGAGUAGGGCUACACACGUGCUACAAUGGCGUAUACAAAGAGAAGCGAACCUGCGAAGGCAAGCGGACCUCAUAAAGUACGUCGUAGUCCGGAUUGGAGUCUGCAACUCGACUCCAUGAAGUCGGAAUCGCUAGUAAUCGUAGAUCAGAAUGCUACGGUGAAUACGUUCCCGGGCCUUGUACACACCGCCCGUCACACCAUGGGAGUGGGUUGCAAAAGAAGUAGGUAGCUUAACCUUCGGGAGGGCGCUUACCACUUUGUGAUUCAUGACUGGGGUGAAGUCGUAACAAGGUAACCGUAGGGGAACCUGCGGUUGGAUCACCU
rnacentral:rRNA from 1 species